AUUCUAUAGGGACCUAACUGUGACAUCAGAAAUAGUUUUAAUUCAAAUUCAGGUCCCUGGUUUUGUCUAUAAAUACCACCACGAAGUUCAAGUUCAAACCAGCUCAAAUUAGAGCAACCCAAGCCUUGAAACUUGGCAUAAACCUUCUCCUCCACCCCCUGAAGCCUCAGCCACCACCCUUAGCCACCAACAACCGCCACAAAGACGGUGGUGAACGGCCAAAAUAGUAGCUCACGGCCAAACUUUGGAAAUUGCUUUCUAGACCGAUUCAUCCCUCCAUUUUUGUUCCAUUAGCUUCCUUGAGUCCAUUAGAGUGUGAACCAACCCAGAACCGAGCUCAAUUGUCCCUGCAAUAGCCCAACCGAGCUCAUAAAGCUCUGAAACUUUGAGCUCUUCGUUCUCACUCAUUUCUCCAUCAAUUUUGUCGAUUCAAGUGUCUAUCCUGCUUAUAAUUUCAUAAGGAAGCUAUCUGUGCAAGAAUUUUGAAGCUUGGAGGUCUAUUUUUCAUUCUGCCAUUGUUGACCGGAGAAAGCUUCAAAGAGCUUGUCGUUUUGGCCAAUUUAGAGACCUUCUGAGCUACCCACUUGUACCAUUGAGUUCCUGGGAGUGAGAGGAUCCUUUUCCAACCAUUUUCCACCCUCAACUCUAACUUUUCACCGGAUCUCCGCCGCCAACCGCCACCUUCUCCGGCGGGCUCACCGGAAAAGUUCCCAGAACUUGGAAAAAAUCAUAUUUCCUGAAUCCUUGCAUCAUAAGGAGUCCGUAUACGCAAUCGGUUUUGAAUUUCACUGAGAUUUGAUAUAGUUUCGGAAAAGGAGACGAUAAUCGAUCGAAGGAUUUUUCGAAGAAAGGGACGGAGUUCGAGGAGAAAGAACUCGAGUGAAAAGUGGUCGAGGCAGGAAGAGCUGUAGAUAGUUGUAAAUAUACGGGAGUGUUCGAGUAGAAUAAAGACCAGCUGCUGGAAGAGGACGUGUACGACUGGACUCGUGCUCUAUCAGACUGUAAAAUAAGUGUGAAAGCUGUGGUUUUGGUUGUAAACAAGGCAGUCAAAGUAGUCGGGGAAGAUUCAGAGGAGUUCAUGCGAGACUUUGGGACGUCUUGUCUAAGGAAAGGAAUUGCUUUUAAUGACGCUUAGCGCGACUAACUUUCCUGGAGACGUUCUCAGACUAUCAAUUGGACAUCGAUGAAUUCUGACCAAAAGGUCUUGUACUUCUUCAAAGUUCAUCAAUAAAAGUGUUUUUCUCUGAA